rnacentral:lncRNA from 1 species
GGAGAAAAGUUUCUCAAUGAACUGAGAAACAGAAACGACUAUGUCUUUGGAGGAUCACCUAUAGUGAUAAGACUCUCAUGACUCACUAUGGGGUUGGGUGGAAAAUUUGAAGACACUGGCGUGAAAAAGGAACUCAGUAAAAGGGUAUUUUAUGAGGGCACAAAGUAACAGGACUCAAAAGAGUAGCCUUGCAUUGCUUGGGUUCAGCCAUGUAGCAUAGUUUGGGCUCCUCCCAAAGCAGGUGAUGAGCAAAGUUGUCUGGGAUUUGAUUCCAGUAAAAGUGUAGAAGAGUUGACAAUCAAGGCAGGAGGAGAAAACAAGCCUCCCACAGGCUACCAGUCAACCCAGGAAAGCAAGCUGGGGCAUCUAUAUGCCACUUUCUGCCAGUCUUUGAUGGAGGUCCACUUGAGGAAGCUUCAAUCUCCUGAUAGCUCCAGCUUACCAUGUAUGCAGGCAGUGUAGGCUCCAGCAGGAAAAACAGAUGAAGGUACCUGCUGUCAGACUGGCAAUUAACAUCCUAUGAAACAGUGCAAACCAACAAGAAGCAGUGAGACUAACAGUGUCAACUAAACAAUUCCAUUCUCGCUUUUGCCCAAAACUGCUGAAGUAGGACUAUAGCUUCUCUGUGGAGUAUUCCAUAAUCAGACCUGAGAGAACCCAGGGAGUGUUCUCCCUGUGCUGUAUCAGGUCAGCAGCUACCCUGUCACAUACACUGGGCCCUGAUACAUGCUUUAAACAGCUUGUCCCAACUCCUGUGUCGACUGCCUCUUCUUCCAGGCAGUGGCACACUUACAAAGUAAGAGCAAGACAGAUCAUCAUUAUGACCCAUGCUUUAUAUGGUCCCCUCACAGUUCAGAGGGACAUGGAAGUCUCAGAAUUCUUCAGAGCAUCCCACUGCAUUCCCAACUAAAAUGGAGAAAAUGUUUCUCUCCACUUAUGUACAGUCCCAUAUCUCUAAAGUGAUGCUGUUUUUUAUUUGUCCAUUUUGAGGUAGGGUGUCUUAGUAAAUAGCCCAAUCUAACCUCAAAUUCCUGGGCUCUAACAAUCCCUCUAUCUCAGCCUGAGUAGCUGGAGUAUGACUGCAUACCCAUACCACACUAUCAACUGAUCAAUAUUUCAUUUAUUCUUCUUAAAAUAUAUUUUCAUUUAUUCUUUGAUAAUUUAGUUGAUCAUGAGUUCAAUGACCAACCUUUAAUUUUUACAUGAAGCUUCUUAUCUUCCUUCUUUGGAGGGAACAAACACAAAGAAUGUUCUGCACGGUAUCCUUGCUUCUGUUCAACAAGCUAAAUUCAGAAAUACUCAUUCCCACAGAGCUUUUUGACCACACUUGCGUCUAUUUCCUAAAAGAAAGAUAACUCCUUUGUACAAAUUCAGGGCUUGCUCCAGUACUGUGCCAGACUUUUCCUGAAAUGUCUCAAAUUGCUGUGGUUGAUAUAACCUAGAAUAGAACUGAGCAUCCACCAAAUUUUAACAAUUUAAAUUAUUAUUAAAUUAUAACAAUUAAAAAAUUGGUGAAAUGGGUAAACCCCACAUUCUUCAAAUAACCUUUCACAAUUGUUACUUUUGAUAAAUGCUAAUGGGCAGAUGUCUCAAUAUUACAUUCCAUUGAGAGAUCCUGGGAUACUGGGAUUCUUUGAUGAAAAAGGAUAGAUGUUUGGAAAGUAGAUGAGCAGGCAGCAUUUUUAAUGACUUUUAGAUGACUGACCAGAACUCUCAGCUGUGCAGAGACCAUUGCACUUCAGCUUGGAGAAAGGUUAGAAGAAUAGUUCAGAGAAAGAAAGAAUUUUUGC